rnacentral:rRNA from 1 species
GAUGAACGCUAGCGAUAGGCUUAACACAUGCAAGUCGAGGGGCGGCACAAGGUAGCUUGCUCUCUGGGUGGCGACCGGCGCACGGGUGCGUAACGCGUAUGCAACUUGCCCUAUACAGGAGGAUAACCCGUCGAAAGACGGACUAAUACUGCGUAUGCUCACAACUUGGCAUCAAGUGGUGAGGAAAGAAAUUCGGUAUAGGAUAGGCAUGCGUCCCAUUAGCUUGUUGGUGAGGUAACGGCUCACCAAGGCAACGAUGGGUAGGGGAACUGAGAGGUUUAUCCCCCACACUGGUACUGAGACACGGACCAGACUCCUACGGGAGGCAGCAGUGAGGAAUAUUGGUCAAUGGGCGCGAGCCUGAACCAGCCAAGUCGCGUGAAGGAUGACUGUCUUAUGGAUUGUAAACUUCUUUUAUACGGGAAUAACAAGAGUCACGUGUGACUCCCUGCAUGUACCGUAUGAAUAAGCAUCGGCUAACUCCGUG